GUAUGUGCCCUUCGGGGAAGAUUAUCGCCAAGGAUUAGCCCGCGUUGGAUUAGAUAGUUGGUGGGGUAAUGGCCUACCAAGUCUACGAUCCAUAGCUGGUUUGAGAGGAUGAUCAGCAACACUGGGACUGAGACACGGCCCAGACUCCUACGGGAGGCAGCAGUGGGGAAUCUUAGACAAUGGGCGCAAGCCUGAUCUAGCCAUGCCGCGUGGACGAUGAAGGCCUUAGGGUUGUAAAGUCCUUUCAGAUGGGAAGAUAAAUGACGGUACCAUCAGAAGAACGCCCCGGACUAACUCCGUG
rnacentral:rRNA from 1 species